UACGGAGGGAGCUAGCGUUGUUCGGAAUUACUGGGCGUAAAGCGCACGUAGGCGGCUUUUUAAGUCAGGGGUGAAAUCCCGGGGCUCAACCUCGGAACUGCCUUUGAUACUGGAGAUCUUGAGUCCGGAAGAGGUAAGUGGAACUGCGAGUGUAGGGGUGAAAUUCGUAGAUAUUCGGAAGAACACCAGUGGCGAAGGCGGCUGACUGGUCCGGUUCUGACGCUGAGGCGCGAAAGCGUGGGGAGCAAACAGG
rnacentral:rRNA from 1 species